rnacentral:lncRNA from 8 species
UAAGCCAUGAACGGGUAGACAUCCCCAUGAUUGUAUAGUAUCAUUCCGUGGUGGACCCAUAUUAGGCUCCUUGAGGACAUCCCUGUGGCACCUGAAAUUUAGGGGAUCCUCCAGACAGACAGCAUCCCUGCACAGAAACAGGGCCUUUCCAGAGGGAGGGGAUCCCCACCACAGGGACCUUCCAGAGGGAGGAGAUCCCCACCACAGGGACCUUCCAGAGGGAGGGGAUCCCCACCACAGGGACCUUCCAGAGGGAGGAGAUCCCCACCACAGGGACCUUCCAGAGGGAGGGGAUCCCCACCACAGGGACCUUCAAGAGGGAGGGGUUUCUCCCCACAAAAACCAAUGAAAUGGAACAGAAGGAAUGGCAUGGACCACCUCCCAUCGUCCCCAUGGUGGGGUCCUGGGAUGCUGGAACAAAUACUCCACAUAGUUGACAUUUAUAUGCCAGGAGAACAGAUAUCCGGAGUAGAUAUGUGGUGGAUCCUUCUAUGAUGACUGUCACCAAGCCGGGAACACUCGGAGGCCAACCCUCCGUGCCAACCCUGGCACCCUAUCAGCCGCCCAGCACACCCAGUACAGAACACCCCAAACAGUGGAGGCUGGCUCAGCUGCUUCUUCAGAGGUUCAUCAGAAUAAGCUUAAUCAACCAAAUGAAAGCAGGAUUCUGGAAGAAAGCUGUUAUCUAUAUUCUAUAGAGAUACAUUAGUGGUUGAAUGUUUUUCUGUGUCUUGAUUCACAUUGUGUUUAAUAUCUUCUUCUUCAGAUCGUCUGGGUUCCAAACCUACACAGAUGGGUUGACACCAGUCCCAUGCCCAAGGCUGAGCUAUUCACUUGAACACACGUCAAUUUAAAUCAGUGUUUACGACUGUUGUUUUUCAACUGUGAAAACGUUACUAAUAAUUUUGUGAAUUUGUUGAUGUGUUUUACAGAACAAACCUGUUUCACCUCCUCCCCAAUGGAUAUGUAUCUGGGAAACUCUAGUCUUCCCAAAGGAGUGAAUCCUCACUCCAUGAAAGCAGAAAGUCUAGCAGGUCUAGGCGGCAGGUAUCCCAAGCUAUUUUACCCUGCUGGGAUCACCACAACGCCUCCAUACGAGAGGCCAGGAUCGCUCCCUCCCUCACACUUCACCCACAAGGCACCGAUGGCUGCGUCAUUCGAUGUUGACAGGCAGCAAUUUACCCCUACCCUAUUGACGUAUGACUCUGGACAAACCUUCCACAAUGUAUUCAUUUCAUUAGCUUUACAGCAACACCUGGCUGAAGUAGCAGUGAUGUUUAAUUAAGCUACAGUAUUUCUUUUUUGUCUCACAGACUCAGACUUAUUUUUUUGUCUCACAGAUUGUUUUAAAAGACAAACAAAAAAGAAGAUUUCAGCGUAGAAAAAUAAUGGAAAAGUCUUUUAAUUCUUUCUUUAUCCUUCAUUUCAUCCUGUUCUUGUAACGAUGUGUGCUGAGAGUCAGGAAGCAAGUACAGGGAGUGAGUGUUUUAAUCAAUAAACGAAACAAUAACCACGAACCACAAACAAUGCACCGACAUGAAACACAGUCAAUAACACCUGAGGAAAGAACCAAGGGGAGUGACAGAUAUAGGGAAGAUAAUCAAAGAGGUGAUGGAGUCCAGGUGAGUGUCAUGAGGCGCUGGUGCGCUUGACGAUGGUGACAGGUGUGUGGGAUAAUCAGCAGCCUGGUGACCUAGAGGCCUGUCGUAGGAAGGAGCGGACCAAAGUGCAGCGUGUGUGUCGUUCCACAUUUUAUUUUUACUGUGAAACUAUGCAAUACAUAUAAAUAAACUGAAUAACAAAACAACAAACCAUGACGCAGAGGUGAACCAUACACUAACUCAAAGACAAUCUCCCACAAACCCAUGUGGAAAAAAACCCUACUUAAGUAUGCUCUCCAAUUAGAGACAACGACGACCAGCUGCCUCAAAUUGGAGAUCAUCCCAAACAAAACCCAACAUAGAAAUACAAAAACUAGAACAUGUCAACAUAGAAAAACUAAACUAGAACACCCCCUGUCACGCCCUGACCUACUCUACCAUAGAAUAUAACAGCUUUCUAUGGUCAGGACGUGA